CGUUGAGUAUCUGGCUCUGCAUAUGUCGAUGGGGUUUCGGUUACAACUUGAAAGACAGAGAGAUCGUUCAUUGCCUGGUGAUCUACUUUAUCAUCAUCACGCUGCUCAACGUGAUAUUUUUAGGGCACAUAAGAUUCUUUGGUCAUUAUCCUCCGGAAAUGAGGGAUAAUUAAUCAAGUAUAUCGUUCGUUAAGGCACAUCUUUUUCAAGUGAUUUGAAACUUUGCAUCAACAAAGAGAGAAUAAUUUAUAUCGG